rnacentral:rRNA from 1 species
UGAACGCGGUUAGYAGCAAUWCUGAACYGAGUGGCGAACGGGUGAGUAACACGUGGGUGACCUACCUUCGAGUGGGGGAUAACGUCCCGAAAGGGACGCUAAUACCGCAUAACAUCCUGCCUUUGAACAGGCGGAGAUCAAAGCCGGGGAUCGCAAGACCYGGCGCUUGAUGAGGGGCCCGCGUCCGAUUAGCUAGUUGGUGAGGUAAYGGCUCACCAAGGCAACGAUCGGUAKCCGGCCUGAGAGGGCGGACGGMCACACUGGGACUGAGACACGGCCCAGACUCCUACGGGAGGCAGCAGUGGGGAAUUGUUCACAAUGGGCGCAAGCCUGAYGACGCAACGCCGCGUGGAGGAUGAAGGUCUUCGGAUUGUAAACUCCUGUUGCCCGGGACGAAAAGCUCCGACCUAAUACGUCGGAGUCUGACGGUACCGGGUGAGGAAGCCCCGGCUAACUCUGUGCCAGCAGCCGCGGUAAUACAGAGGGGGCAAGCGUUGUUCGGAAUUACUGGGCGUAAAGGGCGCGUAGGCGGCCUGCUAAGUCGAACGUGAAAUCCCCGGGCUCAACCCGGGAACUGCGUCCGAUACUGGCRGGCUUGAAUYCGGGAGAGGGAUGUGGAAUUCCAGGUGUAGCGGUGAAAUGCGUAGAUAUCUGGAGGAACACCGGUGGCGAAGGCGGCAUCCUGGACCGGYAUUGACGCUGAGGCGCGAAAGCUAGGGGARCAAACGG